UGCCAAGUGGCCUUGAAACCUCAGCAGCAUCAACCCUGGAUGGCAUCAUUUCAAAACUAGCAUUUCAGUUCAGAGUUCACACUGAAAACAUAGCAGUAUGCAAAAUUCAAAAUAGCAGAAGCUGAUGACGGGGGGGAAAAAAAUCAGUAUUAUAUAAUAUGAAAGGGGAGCACGUCUGACUAUCAAAUGCCCAUGGAAGAAUGAUUAUAUCCCUACAGCGGUCUUCAAAGUCCUGAAGUUGCAGAGUGGAAAAGGAAAUGAACUGCACUCUAGUGAACUGUCUGGCCCCAACAGUGCGAACUUGCUCUUGUCCAAAUUGGAAAACAAAUGCUGCCAUUACAAUAUUGAAAAGGAAUGGAUUUGGGCUGCUGAGUUGAGCUGAGCUAAA